rnacentral:rRNA from 1 species
GACGAACGCUGGCGGCGUGCUUAACACAUGCAAGUCGAGCGGUAAGGCCCUUUCGGGGGUACACGAGCGGCGAACGGGUGAGUAACACGUGGGUGACCUGCCCUCAGCUCUGGGAUAAGCCUGGGAAACCGGGUCUAAUACUGGAUAUGACUCCAUGACGCAUGUUGUGGGGUGGAAAGCCUUGUGCGGCUGAGGAUGGGCCCGCGGCCUAUCAGCUUGUUGGUGGGGGAUGGCCUACCAAGGCGACGACGGGUAGCCGGCCUGAGAGGGCGACCGGCCACACUGGGACUGAGACACGGCCCAGACUCCUACGGGAGGCAGCAGUGGGGAAUCUUGCGCAAUGGGCGAAAGCCU